rnacentral:rRNA from 1 species
GACGAACGCUGGCGGCGUGCUUAACACAUGCAAGUCGAGCGGUAAGGCUCCUUCGGGAGUACACGAGCGGCGAACGGGUGCGUAACACGUGAGUAAUCUGCCCUUCACUUCGGGAUAACCACCGGAAACGGUGGCUAAUACCGAAUACGACCAGUCUUCGCAUGAGGUGCUUGUGGAAAGUCUUUUCGGUGAAGGAUGUGCUCGCGGCCUAUCAGCUUGUUGGUGGGGUAAUGGCCUACAAAGGCUUCGACGGGUAGCCGGCAUGAGAGGGUGACCGGCCACACUGGGACUGAGACACGGCCCAGACUCCUACGGGAGGCAGCAGUGGGGAAGAUUGGACAAUGGGCGAAAGCAUGCUCCAGCAACGCCGCGUGAGGGAUGACGGCCUUCGGGUUGUAAACCUCAUGCAGUACCGACGAAGCGCCCUGUCGGGUGGUGACGGUAGGUACAGAAGAAGGACCGGCCAACUACGUG